CUAAUCUAAUGAAAACAAGGCAUUUGGUCCCCAGGAGCAAGUCAAGGAUGGGAAGAUGCUUCAAUUUCCCUGUCUCCCAAGUGAUCCCUUAUGGUUACGACUAAAGGAAGACAAUAACUAUAAGUGAUAUUCUUCAUCAUAUACAUUUAAGAUGAUUCCACUGUGGAGCAGACUUGGGUCAUAUCCAUCUCUGCUAGCCAGCCUGUGCUCUGUGAAGUCGCAGUGUACCUGCACUUAGGGGAGGUUAGAAAUGUUGGAAGAUCAAUCCUCACCACCCUACUACCACGUUCAGCUGCCAAGUGCUGGAAAUUGGUGAACAGACACUGCAGCCUUUGGCGAGGUGAAUCUAAGUAUUUUUAGGUUUACCUUCUCAGCAAACUACCAGCAUUGAAUCACUGAGAAUUCUACUUUUACUGAAGAAUUGUUGGGUAGUAGGUUGGCCACACCAAGGAUUAAGAUGAACAAACAGAAGCUAACAAAUGAGACCUAAGGGAGUGCAUUCAUUCUCCAUAGAAGUGAUGGGAAAGAAGAUGGAUAUAACAAAUAUGUAUCCUGGGACUACUUACUGAGAGAGAAGUCCAAAGCAUCUAGAAAGACUGGAAGAACACUGCCAUUGAAUGGGAUAUAUGCAAAGGGGGCAGCUGUGGGUAGCUUCAAUUCAAAUUUUCUGAGCCCUUCCUAAUCCACCCAUGAUGACAUCUUGAGUCAAUGACAUUUCUCAAUAAAGACCUCAUUGGGCAUGGACUGAAA